CCCUUAGAUGUUCUGGGCCGCACGCGCACUACACUGAUGCAUUCAACAAGCCUAGCCUUGACCGAGAGGUCCGGGUAAUCUUUGAAACUGCAUCGUGAUGGGGCUAGAUUAUUGCAAUUAUUAAUCUUCAACGAGGAAUGCCUAGUAAGCGUGAUUCAUCAAAUCGCGUUGAUUACGUCCCUGCCCUUUGUACACACCGCCCGUCGCUCCUACCGAUUGAAUGUGUUGGUGAGGAGCUCGGAUUGGCAGCAGUUGGUGGUUCGCCACCGGCUAUUGCUGAGAAGUCCUCCAAACCGCCCCAUUUAGAGGAAGGAGAANUCGUANCA
rnacentral:rRNA from 1 species